rnacentral:rRNA from 1 species
GGACAACCUACCCUUAGGACCGGGAUAACCCUGGGAAACUGGGGAUAAUACUGGAUAGGCAAUUUUUCCUGUAAUGGUUUUUUGUUUAAAUGUUUUUUCGCCUAAGGAUGGGUCUGCGGCCGAUUAGGUAGUUGGUUAGGUAAUGGCUUACCAAGCCGUUGAUCGGUACGGGUUGUGAGAGCAAGAGCCCGGAGAUGGAACCUGAGACAAGGUUCCAGGCCCUACGGGGUGCAGCAGGCGCGAAACCUCCGCAAUGUGAGAAAUCGCGACGGGGGGAUCCCAAGUGCUAUUCUUAACGGGAUGGCUUUUCAUUAGUGUAAAGAGCUUUUGGAAUAAGGGCUGGGCAAGACCGGUGCCAGCCGCCGCGGUAACACCGGCAGCUCUAGUGGUAGCAGUUUUUAUUGGGCCUAAAGCGUCCGUAGCCGGUUUAAUAAGUCUCUGGUGAAAUCCUGUAGCUUAACUGUGGGAAUUGCUGGAGAUACUAUUAGGCUUGAGACCGGGAGAGGUUAGAGGUACUCCCAGGGUAGAGGUGAAAUUCUGUAAUCCUGGGAGGACCGCCUGUUGCGAAGGCGUCUAACUGGAACGGUUCUGACGGUGAGGGACGAAAGUUAGGGGCGCGAACCGGAUUAGAUACCCGGGUAGUCCUAACUGUAAACGAUGCGGACUUGGUGUUGGGGUGGCUUUGAGCUGCUCCAGUGCCGAAGGGAAGCUGUUAAGUCCGCCGCCUGGGAAGUACGGUCGCAAGACUGAAACUUAA